AUUGGGGAAUUUUCCGCAAUGGGCGCAAGCCUGACGGAGCGACGCCGCGUGCGGGAUGAAGGCCUUCGGGUUGUAAACCGCUGUCAGUGGGGAGGAAAUCGGUUGGGGUUCUCCCCUUCCGUUGACCGAACCGCAGAGGAAGUCCGGGCUAAGUACGUGCCAGCAGCCGCGGUAAUACGUACCGGACGAACGUUAUUCGGAAUCACUGGGCUUAAAGAGUGCGUAGGCGGCUCGCCAGGUGGGGUGUGAAAUACCACGGCUUAACCGUGGAAUGGCGCUCCAAACCGACGAGCUUGAGGAAGACAGGGGUGAGCGGAACUGAUGGUGGAGCGGUGAAAUGCGUUGAUAUCAUCAGGAACACCGGUGGCGAAGGCGGCUCACUGGGUCCUCUCUGACGCUGAGGCACGAAAGCUAGGGUAGCGAAAGGGAUUAGAUACCCCUGUAGUCAAU
rnacentral:rRNA from 1 species